AUGACCCCCCCCCCCCCGCACCAGAAGAAUACUAUUUCUAAAAGAAGAUAGGGAGGAAAGACACAAAGAAAUACAGGGAGAACUGAAAGCUAGAAAGAAAAAAGGGGACGGGCUGGCUGAGCUGUGCAGCUGAGUUUGAGUCCCUUCAUUUUUUGAGUCCGAUGGCAGGAUAAGCCUGCAGAGGAUUGAAGAUAAACAUCCUACCAGCACAGGAUCGGUUGGCGAGUGGACGGGGUGCAGGGGUGGCGGAGCCCCGUGGAACAACGCACAUCAUAACUGUGAGUAUACCCGUGUCGAGGGACCCCUCUGAGAAGAUCUCCACUAGAACCCUCCUGGAAGAAUUUACUAGCAAAUUCAUGGCAGGUGAGACGAGGGAAGAGGGGGUAAGACCACCAUCAUCACACAGAGCUUCAUAGAACUUUAGAAACUGAUCAUUUAGGCUUCUGGGAGAUGUGAGUAGAUGGCCACGACAUUCUUGAAUUACCCGUAUUUUCAGUGUUUGAGUUCUUUAUAGAUGAUAAGCCAAUAACUUAUCUCCUGAUUUCCCAAAAUACUUUUUAACCCAGGGCUGUUCAACUGGAAGCCCAUGGCUCAUAUGUAGGGUUGCCAACUCCAUUUCAAUCUAUUCUGGGAGGUUUCCAGAUUGCCAAUGUGCCUACGACACACAAUACAAAUGUGCCCAUGUGCUUGCAUAUAUUAGGUACAGAUUACAGUGAAUAGAAUUAGGAUGGCAAAUGCACAUUAAUAUUACAUUUCAAACCCUACUGGACUACUGUAUAAAUCAGAUUCAACAUUUAAUAUUUCUUUAAUGAAUGCCCUAUCAUUUUUCUUCUUGGUGACUCUCAACAGUCUCCUGGAGAUUUAUAUCUAAUUUCUGGAGACCCCAGGGCAAUCCUGUAGGUUUGGCAACCUCAGGAACCAGCAGCGGGAAGGAGAGGAGUCCCGCACGCAUGUGUGCCCCCUUAACCAACUGACUGACCGGAGGCGGCGGUGGCAGCAGCAGCAGAGGAAUCGGCAGCGGGGGCAGCAGCAGCUGAUCCCCCGAAGGUAAGUGGGAUGGAGGAACCUGGCGCAGCUGAGCCGGAUCCGGAGGGGAAGCCCCCCGGGUCCCAUAUAGCUGAGCCGGUAGGGAGCUGUGCUCCCGAGCCGCACAGCGCGAACAGAGCGCGCAAACAGGCGCACUCUGUGAGAGCGCGCCGGCGUUUGCACAGGCGUUCGCGCCGGCAGGCGGGCAGGAAGGGCCAGGAGUGAGAGUCCUGUAGGGGUAGGGUAUAGACACCACACAGAUCUACAAACAGCAGCUCAGAAUGGUGUCUACGAGGAGUGCUGCUAGGGCCUCUGCCCAGGGGGACAAGGCUAACCUGGGCUGGUCUGAGGUCUCCACCCAGACCAAGCCCAUGGGGGAGCUGAUGUCCCCCUACCUCCUGGCCUGUGGGGGAUCCCCAGCAGGGCCGGGGGGGGCAGAGGUUGGGGGCCCCCACACCUGUCCGGCAGGUGCCCAUCUUAGGGCUCUGGAGGCACAGGUGAGGGAGCUCCGGGAGGAGGUUAGCAGGCUGAGGGGGAUCAGGGAGGCGGAGGAUGAAAUUGAUAGUUAUUUCCUUUCCCUGCAGGACCAGGCACCGAAGGAAGAAGCAGCCCGGGGAAUGCCCUCCACAGCAGAGUGGCAGACGGUCACAGCCAGGACCGGAGCAGCUCGCAGCGAACCGGUACCAGCUUCUCCAGUCUGACUGGUGAACAGGUCAAGAGAUCCAAGAGGACCCAGAGGAGGAGGUGACGAGUGCUCGUCAUAGGCGACUCCAUCCUGAAAGGUACAGAAGGGCCCAUCUGUCGCCAGGACCCCUCAGCACGAGAGGUAUACUGCCUCCCUAGAGCAAAGAUUCAGGAUGUGACAGAGGUAAUCCAGGCCAGGAUCAAGCCCACCGAUUACUACCCCAUGGUCCUAGUCCAUGUGGGUACUAAUGAUGCGGCCAGGAGAACCCCCGAUCACCUGAUGGCAGACUACAGUGCUCUGGGUGGCGUGCUGAGGGAGUUCGGUGCACAGGUGGUAUUCUCUUCCAUCCUACCAGUGAACAGACGCGGAAGAUGGCAUGAAAACUGCAUCCGAGAAACCAACUGGUGGCUUCGGCAGUGGUGUCUUGAGGCAGGCUUCGGCUUCCUGGGCAACGACCCGCACAUCACGACAAGGGACAUGCUCGGCUGGGAUGGGCUUCACCUGCCCCCCAAAGGGAAUGAGAGGAACAGAGGGAGAAGAGACUGAGUUCUAGAGGACCAGGAUCAACUGAGCUUUUACUGAACAGCACAAAAAUAAUCCUUUUACAGAGAGCAGAAAAGACAAUGGGUCCCCUCUUCCACUGGGAGGCCUGACAAGGACACACCAGCCACUAUACAAGUUCGUUUCUUUUCCUCAGGCAUCAAACUGAACUGCUGUGUUUUUCAAUCUUACAAUCACAAUGUGCAACACUGACUUUGCCCUAGAAAGUAACAAUUCUCAACUGAGGUGCUGCUUAGUAUUAGCUCUAUUAGGUGUGCAAACUCUGACACAUGGUUUCUUUCAAAUGUAAUUAGAAUUCUGCCUCUUUUAUAUUUUUUUUGGAUCAACUUCAUGGUUGGGAUAGACAAAGAUGAGUUUUCAGGUAUCACAGUAGGUCUUUGGGAGAGUAAGCAACACAGCAGAACUAAGUAGCAGAUGGAACAAAAGCUUGUGUGAAACUCCAUCUAUACCUAAAAACAAGACAUAAGAAAAACAGACAAGAGAGUUGCAAAAAUAGUUUGAUAAGGGAAAAACAAGAUCAUUCAGGAGGGCCAUUUUCUGAAAAUGUUGUCUUUGUCUAUUCCAGCCAUAGAGUUGGUCCAAUAAAAGACAUCAACUCAAGAAUUCUUGUCUCUUGCAUAUUUCCUGAACCAUCGUGGCAACAACAACACUUCAACUUCUACCUCUAAUUUUUAAAAAUGCUGUAGUUUUCGCCUUAAAAAGGCCUUCAUUGCAUCCCAGAGAGAAGCAAGAAGAGUCCGAGUAUAUCAUGAAUCUCUGAAAAGAAAUUGAUUUCCUUUAUAACAUGGUUCUGAAAAAUCUUACCUAUGGACAAUAAAGAGUUUAAUCUUCAUUAUUUAUAGUUAAGGUUACUAUAGACCCAUAAUCACAUCUAAUUUUCAAUUAUAAUACAUAUACA